CGGGUGAGUAACACGUGGAUAACCUACCUAUAAGACUGGGAUAACUUCGGGAAACCGGAGCUAAUACCGGAUAAUAUUUUGAACCGCAUGGUUCAAAAGUGAAAGACGGUCUUGCUGUCACUUAUAGAUGGAUCCGCGCUGCAUUAGCUAGUUGGUAAGGUAACGGCUUACAAAGGCAACGAUGCAUAGCCGACCUGAGAGGGUGAUCGGCCACACUGGAACUGAGACACGGUCCAG
rnacentral:rRNA from 1 species